GACGAACCGUGCAACCGUUAUUCGGAAUCACUGGGCUUAAAGGGCGCGUAGGCGGUCGGUCAAGUCAGGGGUGAAAUCUUUCGGCUCAACCGGAAAAGUGCCUUUGAUACUGGCCGUCUCGAGGGAGGUAGGGGCGUGCGGAACUUUGGGUGGAGCGGUGAAAUGCGUAGAUAUCCAAAGGAACACCGGUGGCGAGAGCGGCGCGCUGGACCUCUACUGACGCUGAGGCGCGAAAGCCAGGGGAGCAAACGGG
rnacentral:rRNA from 1 species